rnacentral:lncRNA from 1 species
CAACAAUUGGGGGAUAGAGGGGACCUGCCCACCCCAGUUUACAUGUUAAGCGAGCCCUGUGGCCCCUGUUAUUCAGCGCCACCUCGACCUUGCAAGUCAGGGUCUUGAACAUGGGACCAGCAGUCAAUAGCGAAGAGCAAGUCUUGGUAGAUUGAGUUCAGGCACCGUUGUAGUAAACGUUUAACAAACUUUGUUGUAAACCAAAUGGCAAGAGUAAAUGCCAGAAUUGUAGAAUAAAUACAAAAUUUUAACCAGUAAACUCUACCAAUUUUUACGAAUUCUAUAGUCUGUUAAAUCUAUUUUAAACACAACGCUGCGUAUUGUAUAAACCAAUAGUCAGCACGACAAUCAUUUCUCAAGCUAGACGUUCAAGAGAUUUGCACGCAGGAAACUAGGUCCAACACGCCAGCCCACGUUGGGCAUAGGCGU